GACCGCGUAGCUCAGUUGGCAGAGGCGCAGAGCAUUGGGCUGGUAUUCCAAAAGCCGUAGGUUCGAUUCCCACCGUGGCCG